UACGGAGGAUCCAAGCGUCAUCCGGAUUUAUUGGGUUUAAAGGGUGCGUAGGCGGCCUAUUAAGUCAGGGGUGAAAGACGGUAGCUCAACUAUCGCAGUGCCUUUGAUACUGAUGGGCUUGAAUGUACUUGAAGUGGGCGGAAUGUGACAAGUAGCGGUGAAAUGCAUAGAUAUGUCACAGAACACCGAUUGCGAAGGCAGCUCACUAAAGUAUGAUUGACGCUGAGGCACGAAAGCGUGGGGAUCAAACAGG
rnacentral:rRNA from 1 species